UACGGAGGGGGCAAGCGUUGUUCGGAAUUACUGGGCGUAAAGGGCUCGUAGGCGGCCCAGUAAGUCAGAUGUGAAAUCCCUCGGCUUAACCGGGGAAGUGCCUCUGAUACUGGAUGGCUUGAGUUUGGGAGAGGGAUGCGGAAUUCCAGGUGUAGCGGUGAAAUGCGUAGAUAUCUGGAGGAACACCGGUGGCGAAGGCGGCAUCCUGGACCAACACUGACGCUGAGGAGCGAAAGCCAGGGGAGCAAACGGG
rnacentral:rRNA from 1 species